rnacentral:rRNA from 1 species
GGGGAAUAUUGGACAAUGGGCGAAAGCCUGAUCCAGCCAUGCCGCGUGAGUGAUGAAGGCCUUAGGGUUGUAAAGCUCUUUUACCAGGGAAGAUAAUGACUGUACCUGGAGAAUAAGCCCCGGCUAACUUCGUGCCAGCAGCCGCGGUAAUACGAAGGGGGCUAGCGUUGUUCGGAAUCACUGGGCGUAAAGCGCACGUAGGCGGACUCUUAAGUCAGAGGUGAAAGCCCAGGGCUCAACCCUGGAAU